GUCCACACCGUAAACGUUGGGCGCUAGGUGUGGGAUCCAUUCCACGGGUUCUGUGCCGUAGCUAACGCAUUAAGCGCCCCGCCUGGGGAGUACGGCCGCAAGGCUAAAACUCAAAGGAAUUGACGGGGGCCCGCACAAGCGGCGGAGCAUGCGGAUUAAUUCGAUGCAACGCGAAGAACCUUACCUGGGUUUGACAUGGAGAGUUAACCAUCAGAGAUGGUGGGUCCGUAAGGGUUCUCUGCAGGUGGUGCAUGGCUGUCGU
rnacentral:rRNA from 1 species